ensembl:snRNA U4 U4 spliceosomal RNA
ACUCUUGCGCAGUGGCAGUAUCAUAGCCUAUGAGGUUCAACUGAGGCGUGAUUAUUGCUAAUUGAAAACUUUACCCAAUACCCCGCCAUGACGACUUGAAAUAUAGUCGGCUUUGGCAAUUUUUGACAGUGUCUAGGGAGACUGAGAUAACAGUUAAAUGACA